CAGUCCUAAGGAAGAAAAGAGGUGCAGCCAAGAGGUUAAGAAGCAAGGUUAGUGGCAGUGAGGUUAGGGAGCUGCAGCUGAGUCCGAAGCCAGCCAGAAAGUGAAGACAAAAUGGCGAAAGUGUUCUCUAAUGUUUUCCCUUCUUGUUCCCAUACCUCUCAGCGAGACUGUGAGGGAAGUUGACAUCACAAUUGUUUUCCUUUUCACAGCUAAUUAUCUACUUUUUCUCACCAAAAUAUUCUAGCCUGCUUCAAACUAGCACACCAACCCCUCUGGAACCAUCUGCUCAUCAAAAGAUGUCUCUCAGCAGGUUUCCUCUCGACAAGGCAUGAUCUGAGCAGCCAAUGCUUUAGCGAUAAAAGCUACAAGCCAGCAUGGCAAGAAAUAGGACAGCGCCUGACCCCCGUCAGCUUCGCAAGCCGGCACCCGACUCAAUCAGACCCACGGAAGCUUAAACAUCGCACCACAAUUCAUAAAUGCUUUAAAACUCCUCAGAACUGCAUUUGGACAGUGAGUAAAUGAUAAACUUUUUAUUUAAAGACUGAAUAAUUUCUCAAGAGUCAGAACUUUCUUAAAAUCAUGGACUCUCUUUAUUUAGCCAUUCUGCCUUUUUUUUUUUUUUUUUUAAUUCUCAACCAUGAACAAAGAACUCACGAGGGAUAACUAUAAACAAGUUUGGGAAGGGGAUUUUUAGUAUCGUUAGUAAUAAAUCGCUUUAAACCUUUAUAAA